UAGAAAGGCAGGGCAGGAUGGAUAUAGGUCUGUAACAGUUUGGGUCUAGAGGCAGGGCAGGAUGGAUAUAGGUCUGUAACAGUUUGGGUCUAGAGGCAGGGCAGGAUGGAUAUAGGUCUGUAACAGUUUGGGUCUAGAGGCAGGGCAGGAUGGAUAUAGGUCUGUAACAGUUUGGGUCUAGAGGCAGGGCAGGAUGGAUAUAGGUCUGUAACAGUUUGGGUCUAGAGGCAGGGCAGGAUGGAUAUAGGUCUGUAACAGUUUGGGUCUAGAGGCAGGGCAGGAUGGAUAUAGGUCUGUAGCAGUUUGGGUCUAGAGGCAGGGCAGGAUGGAUAUAGGUCUGUAACAGUUUGGGUCUAGAGGCAGGGCAGGAUGGAUAUAGGUCUGUAACAGUUUGGGUCUAGAGGCAGGGCAGGAUGGAUAUAGGUCUGUAACAGUUUGGGUCUAGAGGCAGGGCAGGAUGGAUAUAGGUCUGUAGCAGUUUGGGUCUAGAGUGUCUCCCCCUUUGAAGAUGGGGAUGACCGUGGCAGCUUUCCAAUCUUUGGGGAUGUCAGGCGAUACAAAAAGGAGGUUGAACAGACUAGUAAUAGGGGACAAUGGUGGAGGAUAAUUUUAGGAAGAGAGGGUCCAGAUUGUCUAGCCUAGCUGAUUUGUAG
ensembl:lncRNA